rnacentral:rRNA from 1 species
UACGUAGGGGGCUAGCGUUGCUCGGAAUCACUGGGCGUAAAGCGCACGUAGGCGGGUCGUUCAGUCAGGGGUGAAAUCCUGGAGCUCAACUCCAGAACUGCCCUUGAUACUGGCGAUCUUGAGUCCGGGAGAGGUGAGUGGAACUGCGAGUGUAGAGGUGAAAUUCGUAGAUAUUCGCAAGAACACCAGUGGCGAAGGCGGCUCACUGGCCCGGUACUGACGCUGAGGUGCGAAAGCGUGGGGAGCAAACAGG